UAAAGUUGUAAAUUGCCAAUUGUGGUAAUGAUUAACCAAAGUUGACAAUGUACUAGCUUCUCUUAGAAAAGCUGUUCUGAAGUGAAUGACAUAUUUAAGGUGCUAACUUGCCUGAUUAUUUUAAAACAGCUUACAACCAGACAACCUUUGAAAGAGAGUGAUCAGCAUGGUAAUUAAUUUUUUUUUUAAGAUGAUUGAUUUUUGAGAUGACCUUUUAUUUUUUGUCUUUUUUCCUUCACUAGAUUGAAUAUCAAAUAUUACUUGGAUCUUUUACAAGUUGAUUUGUAAACCAUUUUGAUCUUUCAUGCAGAAGCUGACUAUGUUUAGCAAUUAUUACUUUUUAAUUGCUUUCUUAGAAAAGCUGUUCUGAAGUGAAUGACAUAUUUAAGGUGCUAACUUGCCUGAUUAUUUUAAAAGAGCUUACAACCAGACAACCUUUGAAAGAGCGUGAUCAGCAUGGUAAUUAAUUUUUUUUUUUUAGAUGAUUGAUUUUUCAGAUGACCUUUUAUUUUUUGUCUUUUUUCCUUCACUAGAUUGAAUAUCAAAUAUUACUUGGAUCUUUUACAAGUUGAUUGUGUAAACCAUUUUGAUCUUUCACGCAGAAGCUGACUAUGUUUAGCAAUUAUUACUUUUUAAUUGCUUUCCAGACCCAUGAGCUGCCUGAGCAGACUGAUUAGAGAUUUCAAGUGGGAAGUUUGAUUGGGGUAGUUUAUCUGUUAAAUGAUCAUGUGGAUGUCAAGAAGAGCCACACUGACGAGAAACUUGCUAUUUUCUGUCCCAACUAACUAAGUAGAUUUAGCAACAGGCACCUGCAGCCUUUUGAUUUCUGAUUUCUAUUCUAUUUAGAACAUAGUGACCUAUUAAAACUGAGGGCAGAGAAUGGUAGAUAUUGUGCUCUUAUCAUUGGUGGUUCUCCUGUGUUUGCUUAAGUGGCAAAGGAGCACAUUGAAGAGGCUUGAUAACGGAGUCGUACUUCUUGGGUCUAAGUCACUCGGCUGAAUCACCUCUUAGUUUAUUUACGAAGUUGGGGGCAGUGCGAUACAUUCUAUUGCUUACCAGAAAAAGUUGAGGACAAGAAUUUUCUUGGUGACCAGGCCUGGUGUAGUUCUUGUAAAUCAUUCACAACUGUGUGAUACUCUGCAAUAUAAUGGCUUUUCAAUAUCCAUUGAGAUUUUGAUUGUUUGCAUCCAAUCUGAAAUUGUGUCUUUCAG
rnacentral:lncRNA from 1 species